ACCCGCUUUCACACACACACACACACACACACACACACACACACCUGAUCGAUGUGAACUUCAUUCUGAUCCCGCCUGAAAGAUGGAGGCAGUGACCCCAACAUCUCCCAAGUCGGAUUCAGUCGCGAAGCGGUCAUCGAAAAGAAACUCAGAAGAGGAAGUAUAGUGAGGGUGACUCCUCUGAUGGAGGCAGUGACCCCAACAUCUCCCAAGUCGGAUUCAAUCGCGAAGCGGUCAUCGAAAAGAAACUCAGAAGAGCACUCAGGUGCUGCCCAAAUGGCCCCCACUGCCAAGCUCCAGAAGCAUACACAUGAGCUGGAGCUGCUGAAGAUGAAAAUAGCAUGCCAGGAAGACCUGAUCAAACAGCUAAUCAAGGAGAGAGACUGUUUCAGAACUCCACUCUCCUCUCCAAGCUCCUCAAGCUCGGAGGAUGGUAAGAAGAAGAAGAUGAAGAGGAAGAAGAAGUCAAAGAAGAACAUAAUGUCAUGUCAGUUUCAAUGUUUCUAUAAUUUGCCUCAAUUUUUACAGUAAUUGAAGUGUUUUUUUUUUGUUUUGUUUUUUUUUUUUUUGCAUUUUUAUUCCACAGCAAUAAAUAAAGCAGUUUUGGCAUUCACAGUUGAAA